AAAAAAAAAAAAAAAAAAAAUUAAUAACAUUACAUGCAGGUCUGCUGAAAAUAAUCAUGAAAAAUUUUAAUUUUAGAAGGAAAGUUGGCAGCAAAACAUCCUUGUUACUAUGUGGUGAUCACAGAUUUUUAGCAGAAUCAGACUUUGGAAUAGAGAAGUUGCUCCUUACCCUUUCAUGGGAUGAACUAUGAAGGCCUUUUACAUCUUACCCUGAAACUACACUCCUUUUUAUGAGUUGGGGUAUGCAACUAUGGAAGGAUGAAUAUUUCAUGUAUUCUCUUCGUAAAUAAAUUACAUUUUUCCAUCUUAUUUGGAUUGCCACUUUAACUUGUUUGAUAUGGUUAAAUAAAUUUAAGAACAUAAUAAAUUUACAAAAUGGUAUUGGUUAA